rnacentral:rRNA from 2 species
CAAGGCUAAAUACUCCUGACUGACCGAUAGUGAACCAGUACCGUGAGGGAAAGGCGAAAAGAACCCCGGCGAGGGGAGUGAAAAAGAACCUGAAACCGUGUACGUACAAGCAGUGGGAGCACCUUCGUGGUGUGACUGCGUACCUUUUGUAUAAUGGGUCAGCGACUUAUAUUCUGUAGCAAGGUUAACCGUAUAGGGGAGCCGAAGGGAAACCGAGUCUUAACUGGGCGUUAAGUUGCAGGGUAUAGACCCGAA